CGGGGCAUAGCGUAGUCUGGCUAACGUAUCUGCUUUGGGAGCAGAGGAUCGGGGGUUCAAAUCCCUCUGCCCCGA
rnacentral:tRNA from 1 species